UAUUUCUCGUUCACAUCGAAUUUCAACAAGACAUUGUAGCAAUCAUUGCUUAUAAAAAAAUGGAGUCGUCCAUAGCAAAUGGAAGUCAACCCGAACCAAUACUAGUUCUCGGCAAUAAUACAGGCUUAAAAUCCAUCGUUCAUUAUAAAUCAAGGAAUUUGGUUGCCAACUGGAAAAGAUGGAAGGGAAUACCGUGUGAGCGAGCCACUUCCGCAUUCGACCGGAAACUGCAAUGAGUACAGCUGUGGAUCCGAGGGCCACGCUGAGUGUUCGCCAGAGGACUGCGUGCCCCUUCUCCCCAAGAUACCACUUGCAUCAGAUAUAUCGGACGCACCAGAAGACGAUUUCGAAAUUUUCAACCGUGCCAGGGAUCAAGAAAUCGACGAGAACUUCUAAAGAACGAUUAUCGGCUGUUUCAUGAAAUUUUCGAACGCGUGACUCGCGAGAGACUCGGCUUUCACGUAAUCGCGGUCUUCUACGUGUUUCGCCUUUACCUAUUAAGCUUUUCUUCCUUAUUCGGAAUUUGUUGAUCGAUAUGAAUUAUACGCGAAGAUUGAACAAUGUUAAUCAUUACGUUAACGUUAAAAUGAAUUAUUUAAAUUUGUGUGGUUUUUCUGAUUUUGAAAAUGACGAAUGAAGAGUUAGUAUUGUAUAUAUACGUGAAUCAUAGUUUAAUUUUCAUGAAAAUGGGUCAGGCAGUUCAUUUUUCUCGUGCGUCUUUCAAUCAUUCCAUAAACUAUUGUGUCUGUCUUGUAUCCGUGGGAUCCCGUGUCCGCUUAAAAAUGGUUGUAUGCUAAAUAAAAGAAAAUCCUACGGUA